UACGGGAGGCAGCAGUGGGGAAUAUUGCACAAUGGGCGAAAGCCUGAUGCAGCUAUGCCGCGUGUAUGAAGAAGGCCUUAGGGUUGUAAAGUACUUUCAUCGGGGAGGAAAAACAAAACUAAUAAUUUUAUUUCUUGACGUUACCCGAAAAAGAAGCACCGGCUAACUCCGUGCCAGCAGCCGCGGUAAUACGGAGGGUGCUAGCGUUAAUCAGAAUUACUGGGCGUAAAGAGCACGUAGGUGGUUUUUUAAGUCAGAUGUGAAAUCCCUGGGCUUAACCUAGGAACUGCAUUUUGAAACUGAAAUACUAGAGUAUCGUAGAGGGAGGUAGAAUUCUAGGUGUAGCGGUGAAAUGCGUAGAUAUCUGGAGGAAUACCUGUGGCGAAAGCGGCCUCCUAAACGAAUACUGACACUGAGGGUGCGAAAGCGUGGGGAGCAAACAGGGAUUAGAUACC
rnacentral:rRNA from 1 species